CUGCCUGCCAACAACUAUUUAAUUAGCUCCCUGGUAGCUGAACAGCUUGGCGUAUCAAUGAGAUAGCCAGAUACCUUUGAACUUCCAGAAAGGGAGGUGCUGUCUUUUCUGAGCAGUAAAAAGACCUAAAGCCUAAAGAAAAUCAGGAUGAAGAAACGCAUCCUUUCGCUUGCACUGGGAGCAUAUUUUUCAUUCACACUCCGAUAGUCCAUCUAAAUGAAACUGAUCAUUUUGGGACAAACAUGAAAUUCAGCUGCAUACCUGGAAGAGGAACUGAUGCCUACCACAAAAACUAUUAAUAACCUACUUAUAGUUACCAAAGGCUUAUAGGUAUUUUAAUGUGAAAGUUGGUUCAUUAUGUGGGCCUCAUUAACACAAUCCAAGUUAAGUUCUAUCUGAGCUCUCAAGGAGUGUUGAGUGGAUGAGAGAACAGCCUUUAACAGUUAGUUAACUUUAGUAUGGAAUGAAUUGGCAGGGGACCAUUGGUGGGAUGGGGCGGGGUGAAAUGGAGGUCUGAAAUUUUCUUGCUGUUUGUGCUCCUAGCUCGGAAGUAAACAAAAUAAUUAAUUGCAAUCAUGUGAAAAUUUUCUGAAUCUAAGCUUUCGAGAUGAUAAAUUGGAAACAGAAAUGUUCCAAACAAUAAACCUUGGAAUUCUUGACUGUGUACAUGACCCAGUACACGCUCAUUCAAACAUUGUA